UACGUAGGGUGCGAGCGUUAAUCGGAAUUACUGGGCGUAAAGCGUGCGCAGGCGGUUGUGCAAGACAGAUGUGAAAUCCCCGGGCUCAACCUGGGAAUUGCAUUUGUGACUGCACGGCUAGAGUGUGUCAGAGGGGGGUAGAAUUCCACGUGUAGCAGUGAAAUGCGUAGAGAUGUGGAGGAAUACCGAUGGCGAAGGCAGCCCCCUGGGAUAACACUGACGCUCAUGCACGAAAGCGUGGGGAGCAAACAGGAUUAGAUACCCUGGUAGUCCACGCCCUAAACGAUGUCUACUAGUUGUCGGGUCUUAAUUGACUUGGUAACGCAGCUAACGCGUGAAGUAGACCGCCUGGGGAGUACGGUCGCAAGAUUAAA
rnacentral:rRNA from 1 species